rnacentral:snRNA from 1 species
GGCCCACUUCGAUCCGGCUAUGAUAUCUGUCACCCCAUUGAUUGCCAGGGUUGAUUCCGCUGAUCUGGAUGGUGCGGUAGGUGUCCCCUUCCUCUCUCACUGCUCCACAUGUGUCCUUCCCAAAGCUAUGCGCUAGGUUGAAGAGGACGACCUUCCCUGAUAGAGGGCUGUUCUUUGGUCAGGGGUAUAUGAGUGGCUGUGCUCCCCUGCUAGAACCUCCAAACAACUUCCCAAAAUGGCCCACUCAUCUGCCAUUCACAGAAGGCCUCAGUUCCUCACCCCAUGGGCCUCUCCAUGGUGCUGCUUGCAACAUGGCAGCCAACAUUGGAGCCAGUGAUCCAAGAGGGAACAUGGGGGAAGUC